rnacentral:rRNA from 1 species
UACGUAGGGGGCAAGCGUUGUCCGGAUUCAUUGGGCGUAAAGCGCGGGCAGGCGGCCCGCUCAGUCGGCCGUGAAAGCGCCGGGCUCAACUCGGCGAGGUCGGGCGAUACUGGCGGGCUCGAGGCUGGUAGAGGGCGGUGGAAUUCCGGGUGUAGUGGUGGAAUGCGUAGAGCUCCGGAGGAACACCAGUGGCGAAGGCGGCCGCCUGG